rnacentral:lncRNA from 1 species
UUGGAAGGCAGCAAGCAAGCUGAAGUCGCAUGAAGGAGUGGUCCUGCGCCUGCUGCUCUCUCUGCUGAUCUGAAGCCACACAGCCCAGCAUGGCUCCCACUGCUUGACUUUCUGGAGGACUCCAGGGUUUGAGCAUCAAUACCUGCCCCUCAAUUAGAUCAGAGAAAACCUGAAAGAUCGCAUAGCGGGAGUGCAAGGUGUCCACUAGAUGGCAGAAUUGAUCAAGCUGAAUCGUGCGCCGCGCAGCGAGACUGUGAACUCUGAGUACAGAAUCCAGAUGGAGGGAUAGACAGCCCUCUAAAGCUGACAUCUCCACGUUUUCCCCAGUGUGAGUCUUGAGCGGCCCAAGGGUGCUCUGAAAUGCUCCGGGCCGCACCAUUGUUACAGUCCAUAGAGGUGACACUUUAGGGAGUGACGUUAUGGUGUCUGACAGCCUGUUACAU